AGAUUCUCUACCAGUCAUCUUGGGUGACCUGAGGUAGCCACAUGAAAUGGCCAGAUUUGACAUCAUCCCUCUUCUGUGCCAGAAGGAACAAUUAGUCCUUCCAUAAAUAGAUCAAUAUUUGCUCAUGCUGUAGACUAUGGAAUCCAACCUGUAGUAUCCUUUCUGCAUGUUGGCACCAAGCCCACCUCAUGAAACCAGCAAUGGGCAUUUUUCUAAUUCUACUUUCAAAGGUCCCAUUAUGGGUAAUAGAAAAGAACAUGAAAAAGUCUAUACCUUUUUUUUUCUCCUGCCAUUUUCCAAAAGUUCAUCUUCAAAAGGCAGGAAAAUGAAGCCAACAGGCACUAGAAACAUCCUGCAUGGAAAUCAUUCAAGGCUCACAAGUUUAUUACGUAAAUGUUGUAGCUGCCAGGUAAC
rnacentral:lncRNA from 10 species